rnacentral:rRNA from 1 species
GACGAACGCUGGCGGCGUGCUUAACACAUGCAAGUCGAACGGAAAGGCCCUGCUUUUGUGGGGUGCUCGAGUGGCGAACGGGUGAGUAACACGUGAGUAACCUGCCCUUGACUUUGGGAUAACUUCAGGAAACUGGGGCUAAUACCGGAUAGGAGCUCCUGCUGCAUGGUGGGGUUUGGAAAGUUUCGGCGGUUGGGGAUGGACUCGCGGCUUAUCAGCUUGUUGGUGGGGUAGUGGCUUACCAAGGCUUUGACGGGUAGCCGGCCUGAGAGGGUGACCGGCCACAUUGGGACUGAGAUACGGCCCAGACUGCUACGGGAGGCAGCAGUGGGGAAUAUUGCACAGUGGGCGGAAGCCUGAUGCAGCAACGCCGCGUGCGGGAUGACGGCCUUCGGGUUGUAAACCGCUUUCGCCUGUGACGAAGCGUGAGUGACGGUAAUGGGUAAAGAAGCACCGGCUAACUACGUG